UGGGGACAGCAGGUGGGAGCUUCCUAAGCCAGACAAAGGAGACCUGAGAAGGAACUGUGGUGAAGGGACAAGCCCAAGGCAAAGGACUGUCCGGCCACCUCCUCUCCUGGAGCAGGCAGCUGAGAUCUGCAUAGCCAGGAGACAUUUUGCAAGACUCAACACCUGGAGCAGUGCUAACCAGGUGGGCAGCCCCGAUGUCGGCCAAGCUCUACGUCCUCAUCAGCUGGCCCGACGGCAGCCGUGUCAUCAACAUCGAGAACAUCAAGGAGCCCCGCAAGCCCUUCCACCUCUACGCGGUGGGCGAGCAGGUGCUGGCCCGCUGCCCCGGCUUCAGCGGGCUCUACUGGGGCAUGGUGGAGGGCAUCAGUGAGCACAAAGAUGUUCUGGAGAAGAAGCUGCAGGAAGACAGACAGCUCCUGGAGACGUUAAAAGAUGAGCCGGCCAACCACAGCAUGAUGCCUCCCCAGGCAAAAAAAUCCAGGAAAACCUUCCCGAAAUGGACCCCGGGGAAUGCCCCCAGGAAGUACGGCGACCGGAGUUACCCUGGCAAGCCGCUGCUGCGGGCAGCCGGGGCCGGCCUGCCCGGUGAUGUUGGCAGCUCCUCCAUCAUCAAGGAGAGACGUGCCCUGGGGCCACCCCACCCAGCCAGCGCCUUCACCCCCCCGGCCCCUUUCGUCACCCUGGCUGUGCCGGGGAUGUCCCAGGGUGAAGAGGACAGGGCUGGCACCGCUACCAGAGAUUACGUUGCCCUGGCAAUGAAGAGGAAGUCAGAUGGCAUCUUGUCCCAAUGCCAGCAGCACGUCUGUCUGAACAGCUGUGAAGAACGAAAGCUGGAUGCUUUGCAAGAGAUGGAUGACUUUGAGAGAGUUCAGAAAAAAAUCUGUCCUGGUGAAAUGGAAAGGGAGAAGGUAGAGCAGCUGGAGAGGAUGGUCUUGGACCUGCAGCAGGACGUCCUCUCUCUGAAGAAGAAGGUGCAGCGGCUGGAAUCCCUGUCCUUCCAGGAGGAGCCCCACCGGCCGCCCUGCGAGGUGGUGGAGCUCUUCAACGGCUACACCAAGGAGCAGCUCAGAGAGGCCAUCCGUUUCGACCAGAAAAUCAGCACAGCCUGCAAGACUCUGCUCUACAAGCUCUUCACCUCCGACUACAUCCAGAGCCACUCCAUCACGGGGCGGAGGGGCAACACUUUCCGGGAGGCGAAGCCCAUGAUGGACGAACGCUGCAUCAAAAUCAUCCGGGUGCUGUUGAAACAGAAGUUUGGCGAUCACCUCAGCGACACGGUGAUCACGGAGAAGAUACAGAACGUGCAGAAAGCCCUGAGGCAGAAGUUUAAGACAGAAUGUCUCUGA
rnacentral:lncRNA from 1 species